rnacentral:misc_RNA from 1 species
CGCACCUUGCGCUCCCUGGUAUUCCGGGGAGCAUGCCUGUUUGAGUGUCAUGGAAUUCUCAACUCUUAAUACUUUUUUGUAUCAAGAGCUUGGACUUGGAGGCUUGUGCUGGCUGCUCGUUCAGUCGGCUCCUCUGAAAUGCAUUAGCGUGAAUUAAUAUGGAUCGCUUCGGUGUGAUAAUUAUCUGCGCCGUAGUCGUGAAGUACUUUAUAACGUUUACGCUUCUAAUCGUCCUUCACGGGACAAUUAAACCCUGACUUUUUGACCUCAAAUCAGGUAGGACUACCCGCUGAACUUAA